rnacentral:misc_RNA from 1 species
GAUGAAGAACGUAGCGAAAUGCGAUAAGUAAUGUGAAUUGCAGAAUUCAGUGAAUCAUCGAAUCUUUGAACGCACAUUGCGCCCGCUAGUAUUCUGGCGGGCAUGCCUGUUCGAGCGUCAUUUCAACCAUCAAGCCCCAGGCUUGUGUUGGGGACCUGCGGCUGCCGCAGGCCCUGAAAACCAGUGGCGGGCUCGCUGUCACACCGGGCGUAGUAGAUUUUAUCUCGCUCAGGGCGUGCUGCGGGUUCCGGCCGUUAAAAAGCCUUUUUUACCCAAGGUUGACCUCGGAUCAGGUAGGAAGACCCGCUGAACUUAAGCAUAUCAAUAAGCGGAGGA